UACGAACUGUGCAAGCGUUAUUCGGAAUCACUGGGCUUGAAGAGUGCGUAGGCGGUUUUGUAAGUAGGGUGUGAAAGCCCCCGGCCCAACCGGGGAAUUGCGCCCUAAACUGCAAGGCUGGAGUGAGGUAGGGGUGUGUGGAACUUCUAGUGGAGCGGUGAAAUGUGUUGAUAUUAGAAGGAACGCCGGUGGCGAAAGCGACACACUGGACCUUGUCUGACGCUGAGGCACGAAAGCCAGGGGAGCAAACGGG
rnacentral:rRNA from 1 species